rnacentral:rRNA from 1 species
CAUGGCUCAGGAUGAACGCUAGCGACAGGCUUAACACAUGCAAGUCGAGGGGCAGCAAUUUGUAGCAAUACAAAGUUGGCGACCGGCGCACGGGUGAGUAACGCGUAUGCAACCUACCUACAACAGAAGAAUAAUCCGGCGAAAGUCGGUCUAAUACUUCAUAAAACAGGGACAUCGCAUGGUGUUGUUUGUUAAAGAUUUAUCGGUUGUAGAUGGGCAUGCGUACCAUUAGGUAGUUGGUGAGGUAACGGCCCACCAAGCCUACGAUGGUUAGGGGUUCUGAGAGGAAAGUCCCCCACACUGGUACUGAGACACGGACCAGACUCCUACGG